GUAGUCACCUUUUCCUUCUUUCAGUAUGCAAAACACUUCCAUUUUUCUUUUCUGGUGACAUGCCUUUAAUUGUGAUGCUAUUUGGUACAUGCAAGCAGUAGCUGAUGAAAUUGUUUUGCCAAAUGUUGAUCCCCAAAAGCCUCCGAAGACAUGGAAUCUUGCCAAGCUUCUGGAUGAGUUUGUCGGUCUAGGGGGGAAGCUACUGGGUGAAUCAUUCAAGGGCAUCCAAGAGGAAAACCUACAAUCAGCACUUGAACAAAUGCAUGGUAGUAGCUCUGUGAAGGCUGAUAGUUUUACUCUUCCCAACAUGCCAAUCCCACCUGAUUCAUUCAGAGGAAUCCGAAAGAAAACAUCUUCCAUGAUGCGGUGGUUUGCCAUUUGUGUUGAUGAUACAUCAAAGAAAGGGAGAUAUACAAACACUGUCAAUCUGCUCCGCAAAUAUUUUGGAGAUUUUCUAAUAGCUACCUACCUGAACGCUGUGCAAGAGUCCCGUUACAAUGAUGCAUAUAUAAGUGGAAUCGAGCGGGAAGUACUUUUGAAGACUCUUGAUGCCUUAUGGAAGGACCAUUUGGUAAACAUGAACAAGCUUAGUUCUGCGGUGAAUGUCCGGAGCUUUGGGCACAGAAACCCCCUAGAAGAGUACAAGAUCGACGGCUGCCGCUUCUUCAUCUCAAUGCUGAGUGCCACGCGGCGACUGACCGUGGAAGCCCUACUGCACUACUGGUCGUCUCCCAUGGAAUCCGACGAGAUCUUCAACACCGAGGAUCAAUAGCCGAAGAAAGGGACCACGCCUAAUGCAGAGAAACGUGAAAACGUUUUGAGGGAGCAGUACUGCAAGGGACCAGUGCAGCUUUGUUGGUGAAUCAGCAUCGAUGCGACUCCCGUAUUGGCCUGUCAGAUGGGGUGGCACCCUAACACACAAAGUCAAGAUAGUUUAGGCGCUAACAUGUUUUAGCUGCCAAAGCACAAGAACACACAAAGCAUCUUGAUCCACACAACAGAAUGUACUGCAUUCCACUGAUCCAAGCUCGGAGCUUGUUUGCACGCUACAACUUUGGAGCCGGGCUCAUCCCGUCCACGUCAGGGACGGUACCGUGGUCCUUGGAUUGCCAUCAUGAUGAUGAUUUGCUUUCUCUGAAAGUCCACUCCGCACCUCUUUUUUUCUUUCACCCGAUCGUGCCCUGAAUUUCAACCAGAUAGUGUGGCACCUAGUCUGGGAGUAGGCCUUGCGCCCGGAAUCUCAUCGCUUGUGGACAGGAACUCCCAGUGCUUUCUUGACAUUUGGGAAUGAUCGGUAAGUCGGCUCUUCCCCCAGACUCCCGUAGCGGCCGAACCUGCAGUUUCGUGUGGAAGCGGCCGCUGCAUUCCGGAUUACUGUUGCCUGGUGGCCUGGCGGUUGCAGUAGCAGCCAGCCAGGCCACCACCUGCUGCUGCCACAAGAGAGAAGCCACUAGUUACACGUGCCAGAAAGGUCUGAACCUAGGGAAUGAUCCACGGCUCCGUGCGAUGCACCGAGACGUGCGGUCUGGUCAGGUUCGGGGCACCGUUCAGUUUCCUCUCUGGAUCUUGUGCUACCUGCUGCCACCACGCGCACUGAGUCACUGACCGCAGCAGCAGGGGCAUUUUUGCAACGCAUCCAUCGUGUGUUUGCCUCGCGUGGGCGGCUAAUCGGUCGGCCGUUGCCUCUGCCCUCCUGAUUGAUGGUCCCGGUUCAGGUAGCGAUCACAAGCGACACAGAGUAGACCAGCCCCGCAGGUAGAUGCUGUGAAUCUUUUUCUUUUUCUAUGAAAGGCUAGAUGCUGUGAUUCUUUUUUCUUUUACAGUUGUAGCAACAACAAGCAGAGCACGUGAUGUGAUGUUGCCAAUCUGCCCUGCUCAAGUCGUCGUUGAUGGAGAGCACCAAACCGCAACGAUUUCAACUCCCGAGUUGGGUGAAAAAUACACUAAGCUGCCAUGCAUCCGUUUAGGAUGAAACAUAAAACAUGAAAGGAAAUUGGCCGAUCCAACCCGGCAGGCGACAGUGCUGCUGCUGACCCAACAGUGCACCCUACAAGAUCCAACCAACAGGCAGCAGAAUCGAACAAGACGGUGCGAGUGGCAAAUCCAUUCCCUUGCUACCAGGGAACCAGGGGCAUCCACACACACACCCACACCCAAU